ensembl:lncRNA
GAGCUGCUGUCCCACCCCUAAGCCGAGGAAGCCCCUCUGCUUCUUGGCCUCCACCAGCUGAGUCUGAGGACUGCAUGCCCUCCUUGCCCGGUGCUGGACGGCCGGCUGAAAAAUCUAGUAGUGGGAAGAAACUCAAACAGAACAUCCCUGAACUAGAAGUUGGAGGGAAAAUAAAACAGCUCAGGACGUUUAUUCGCUGGGUUGGUAUUUUUUCCACUUGAUUGGCUAAGAAAUGAUACAAACUACCCUUCAACUUGGCUUUGGUUCUGAUUUCGUAUGUGAUGCGUUUUACUUAGCUGUGCCUCACAAUUAGACGCACACUGUACUUUUAUUGUCUGGCAAAUCUGCCUUGACUCCACCAGCAAGUUCUAAAGUCACUGCUCUUAAAAAAUCACAAGGCUCGGGAAAAAAAGGUAUUAGAAAUAGAUUUUAUGGUAUUCAGUUUUGUCCCUAUUUAAUUCCAACCACUACACGGCAGAAAAGGUAACCAAUAUUCAGGGAAGGGUUGAUUGGAAAUGUUUCAGCCCUGUGGAUUGAUUUCAUUUAAUCUUUGAUUAUCUGCAUCCAUAACAGUUUUCACGGUUGGCUGUUGCACUUUAAAGUUUUAAAGGCCAUCUUUUGUAGCCUCAAAACUCAAAAGCAAAUUAGUGUUAAACACUAAGAUUCUAUUUUUAGAUAAAAUUGUUACUUCUUACUUAUCUUUCCCUCUGCUAACUUUCCUUUUGUAAACUGUGUCAGAUCCACAGGGCCCGUUGGCCAGAAGACCAGGCUAUAUUUUAGGCAUGUCCCUCCCUCUUUGAUUCAAGUACACCUAGCAACUUUUAGACAGUGGGUGGCCAGCCUUAAAUUGACCCCAAAUUUCUUUAUUUGCAAGCCCUAAUGGCCAAACUGUAUGAACAGAGAUGCAUUACCCAAUUCAAAUUGUUAGAUAUUAGCAAACAGGCGAAUCGCAGUGGUGUGGAAACCCAUUCUCUUCACUAUUCCCCAGUGUCACUUACAGUAUUUAAAGAACAGUUUAGUUCAAUCUCUGCUCAGCUUCAAGCCAGUGCCAUCUCACCAGCGAAGUCCCCAGCUACGGCCGCAGCUGGCCAGGGUCCUGCUCGAUAUCUGAGGCACUGCCCUCUGCUGGAAGAGCUUUGGUUUCUAAAUCCUGCAAUUCCCCAUAGGUCAGGGCUUCCUCCGCAGUGCUGUUGCCAGAUUUGGAGUUGUGCUGCUCAUCUCCUGUCUCCAGGCUGCCUAGUGGAAUCUCCAGCCCGCCACUAGCCAUGCUUGGAACUGAGUCUGAAAAUUCCUCUUCUGAUCUAACCAGAGUCAAGCAAUCAUAUGCUGGGGAUCAAACCCAGGGGUUUACACAUGUUAGGCAAGUGGUCUACCACUGAGCUACAUCCUCGGCCCCUCCAAAGUAACUGCUGCUCAGCCAUCAUUUUCAAGAACACAAUUAAUUUUUACCAUGGUGUAAAGAAAGCUUAGGGUAUAAACUAUACGCAAGUUUUAGAACAAUAAAAAUAUAAUGCGUGCCCUGGAUUGUUAAAAGAAGACACAACACACUUCCUUGCUGUGACAGUCUCAGUGUAGGAGAAGCUGGGUUGCUGUUGUUGAAAGUAG